rnacentral:rRNA from 1 species
CCUGGCUCAGGAUGAACGCUAGCUACAGGCUUAACACAUGCAAGUCGAGGGAAACGAUAUUGGAAGCUUGCUUCUGAUAGGCGUCGACCGGCGCACGGGUGAGUAACGCGUAUCCAACCUGCCCAUCACUUGGGGAUAACCUUGUGAAAGUAAGACUAAUACCCAAUGACGUCUCUAGAAGACAUCUGAAAGAGAUUAAAGAUUUAUCGGUGAUGGAUGGGGAUGCGUCUGAUUAGCUUGUUGGCGGGGUAACGGCCCACCAAGGCGACGAUCAGUAGGGGUUCUGAGAGGAAGGUCCCCCACAUUGGAACUGAGACACGGUCCAAACUCCUACGGGAGGCAGCAGUGAGGAAUAUUGGUCAAUGGACGAGAGUCUGAACCAGCCAAGUAGCGUGCAGGAAGACGGCCCUAUGGGUUGUAAACUGCUUUUAUAAGGGAAUAAAGUGAGUCUCGUGAGACUUUUUGCAUGUACCUUAUGAAUAAGGACCGGCUAAUUCCGUG